rnacentral:rRNA from 1 species
GAUGAACGCUAGCGGCAGGCUUAAUACAUGCAAGUCGAGGGGCAGCAGCUUUAUAGCAAUAUAGAGGCUGGCGACCGGCAAACGGGUGCGGAACACGUACACAACCUUCCUUUAAGAGGGGGAUAGCCCAUAGAAAUGUGGAUUAAUACCCCGUAACAUAUCGGUGUGGCAUCACACUGUUAUUAUAGUUUCGACGCUUGAAGAUGGGUGUGCGGCUGAUUAGGUAGUUGGCGGGGUAAAGGCCCACCAAGCCUUAGAUCAGUAGCAGAUGUGAGAGCCUGAUCAGCCACGCGGGCACUGCGACACGGGCCAGACGCGUACGGGAGGGAGCAGUAAGGAAUAUUGGUCAAUGGAGGCAAGUCUGAACCAGCCUUGCCGCGUGAAGGAUGAAGGUCCUCUGGAUUGUAAACUUCUUUUAUAGGGGGCGAAAAAAGGGAAUUCUUUCUCACUUGACAGUACCCUAUGAAUAAGCACCGGCUAACUCCGUGCCAGCCGCCGCCGUAA